rnacentral:rRNA from 1 species
CAAUAGCGUAUAUUAAAGUUGUUGCAGUUAAAAAGCUCGUAGUUGGAUUUCUGAUCGAGACAUCAGGUCGGGUCCGAGAGGAUCAUGUACUUUGAUUUUGUUUUGAUCAUCCUUGGGGAGAGCAUUUCUGGCAUUCAGUUGUCGGGAUUGGGAUCCUCAUCGUUUACUGUGAAAGAAUUAGAGUGUUCAAAGCAGGCCUCGGCCUCUGAAUACAUUAGCAUGGAAUAAUAAGAUAGGACUUUGGUGGUCUAUUUUGUUGGUUUGCACGCCAAAGUAAUGAUUAAUAGGGAUAGUUGGGGGUAUUCGUAUUCAAUUGUCAGAGGUGAAAUUCUUGGAUUUAUGGAAGACGAACUACUGCGAAAGCAUUUACCAAGGAUGUUUUCAUUAA